rnacentral:misc_RNA from 1 species
ACCGAACAAGUCCUUCCGUGGGUAACACUUGCCGAAGCCUUAGCAGCCUGAAAGGGUGCCCCUCGACGACUGUAAACAACCAGAGGGCCUUAAAUGCUAGUCUACCUGGUUAUCUAGGUGGGCAACACUGUCAAAUUGCGGGAAACCCCUAAAGACCUUGACACCAAGCGAUCGUCAGAAAUGAUGACGUGGCCGAGCUAAUUGCCCUGGGUAUGGUAACAGUUCAAGGUAUGAGCCUGAGAGAUCGGGU